AGGGGCUACUACUGCAUUUAGAAGACAUAUAGCAAUUCUUCUAAUGAAGGAGUCAGAAAGCGUGGAGGACUACUGCAUAUACUGCAACUGUAUCAACUGUGAAAAAGAAAAUGAGGAUUGCACGAUGGUCCAGUGUGAUUCUUGCAAGAGGUGGGCACAUAUACCCUGCAUUGCAGAAGGAACCAAUCAAGAAAACCUGAAAGAUGAGAAGAAAGAGUACAACUGCAAGAAAUGUGCAUAGUUCACUUCAUUACCCCCCAAAAAACCCCAAUAGAGAAACCCCUAGUUUAAAUGCCUCUUGUUCAAAACAUAAAACUAUA